GGGCUCGCGAGAAAGCGACCGGCAAUCGUGCGCUUCCAUCCGCUUCCGUCUAAGGUGCACUGCCUCGUAAACACGCAGCCUCUCAAAGCGACACGAGACGGUAGCCUAGCGACUGCAUAUAUAAACGUCUAAGCUCAAAACCCACUUCACUGAACUCAAGACGUCAGCGUGUGUUUCUCGGCGUGCUUCAGCUUAACCACAAACACCAAAAUGCAGUCCCGUUACGUGGUCUUCGCCAUGCUGGUUAUAGUUCUGCUCGUCACCUACGCCGAAGCCCAGCGUGGUUCUCGUGGCCAGCGCUGCGGUCCAGGCGAGGUCUUCAACCAGUGCGGCAGCGCAUGUCCCCGCGUCUGUGGCCGGCCACCAGCUCAGGCGUGCACCCUGCAGUGCGUAAGCGGAUGCUUUUGCCGUCGUGGUUAUAUCCGCACUCAAAGAGGAGGCUGCAUCCCAGAGAGACAGUGCCACCAAAGAGGAUGAACCAUGAAGUCAGAAGGAACACCACCGUAUCGGAAAGUUGUUUAAUGAAACCUAGUCCAUGAACGCCAAAUUAUGCUUGCGUAUAUUUUGUUUGGAAAUAAAUUUAUUAAUGCAAUAACUUA